rnacentral:lncRNA from 1 species
GCGCUCCUCCGGGCAGAGCGCGUGUGGCGGCCGAGCACAUGGGCCCGCGGGCCGGGCGGGCUCGGGGCGGCCGGGACGAGGAGGGGCGACGACGAGCUGCGAGCAAAGAUGUGCCCCGGGACCCCCGGCACCUUCCAGUGGAUUUCCUUGCGGAAAGGAUGUUGGCGGUCCCUGUGACCUGUGGAGACACGGCCAGAUCUGCCCUCCAGCCUGAUCUUUUGGCCAGAAGGAGAUUAAAAAGAUGCCCCUCAAGAUGGCUGUGCCUGUCAGCUGCAUGGAGCUUCGUUCAAGUAUUUUCUGAGCCUGAUGGAUUUACAGUGAUCUUCAGUGGUCUGGGGAAUAACGCUGGUGGAACCAUGCACUGGAAUGACACACGCCCGGCACAUUUCAGGAUACUAAAAGUGGUUUUAAGGGAGGCUGUGGCUGAAUGCCUCAUGGAUUCUUACAGCUUGGAUGUCCAUGGGGGACGAAGGACUGCAGCUGGCUGAGAGGGUUGAGAUCUCUGUUUACUUAGAUCUCUGCCAACUUCCUUUGGGUCUCCCUAUGGAAUGUAAGACCCCGACUCUUCCUGGUGAAGCAUCUGAUGCACGUUCCAUCCGGCGCUCAGCUGGGCUUGAGGACUUCGCAGGUGAGCAGUAACGGAAAUCAGCCCCGUUUAUUCCUCCCAGCACCUGCCUUAUCCAACUCCCCACGCUGUGGCUGAGUCCCAGCCUGCUAUGGAAGCAUCACUGGACUCCCAUUGAACUCUGUGCAGAUUCGCUGUUCGUAGACAUGGUACCUGAUGGACACCAAGCUACGUACAGCUUCAAGGCCCCUUCUUUCUUUGCUAAUAAAAAAUAAAAAAUAAAAACAUAAUACACG